rnacentral:rRNA from 1 species
UGGGGAAUAUUGGACAAUGGGCGCAAGCCUGAUCCAGCCACGCCGCGUGAGUGAUGAAGGCCUUCGGGUCGUAAAGCUCUGUGGGGAGGGACGAACCGCUGCACGUUCAUAGCGUGCAGCAUGACGGUACCUCCUUAGCAAGCACCGGCUAACUCUGUGCCAGCAGCCGCGGUAAGACAGAGGGUGCAAACGUUGUUCGGAAUUACUGGGCGUAAAGCGCAUGUAGGCGGCCUAGCAGGUCGGAUGUGAAAGCCCUCGGCUCAAUCAAGGAAGUGCAUCCGAAACUGUCGAGCAUGAGUACGAAAGAAGAUCGCGGAAUUCCCGGUGUAGAGGUGAAAUUCGUAGAUGUCGGGAGGAACACCAGUGGCGAAGGCGGCGAUCUGGGUCGAUACUGACGCUGAGGUGCGAAAGCGUGGGGAGCAAACA